rnacentral:snoRNA from 1 species
CACCCAUGAUGACACGCCAUGCUAAUACCGAGGCACCGAGCGGAGCCAUCGGCUCCGAAUUCGGGUGUCGUUGAGUUAAGCUGACUUCUCACGGGAAGGCCUGAGGUGU